rnacentral:ncRNA from 1 species
GGUCGGAUAAGGUGUUUACGCCGCAUCCGGCAGUCGGUACACAAUGCCUGAUGCGACGCUGACGCGUCUUAUCAGGCC